rnacentral:piRNA from 1 species
UGCCAAGGCCUUCGUGGAUGCCAAGGA